UCGCUCCUACCGAUUGAGUGAUCCGGUGAAUAAUUCGGACUGCAGCAAUGUUUGGAUCCCAAUCGUUGCAGCGGAAAGUUUGGUGAACCUUAUCACUUAGAGGAAGGAG
rnacentral:rRNA from 1 species